AAAUAAGAAGUAAAAUUUUACCUUUAGUUUCGACCUAAAAAUUUGAUGUCUUCAUCCUUAUUUA
rnacentral:tRNA from 1 species